CCUACGGGUGGCAGCAGUGAGGAAUAUUGGUCAAUGGACGGAAGUCUGAACCAGCCAAGUCGCGUGCAGGAUGACGGCUCUAUGGGUUGUAAACUGCUUUUAUACGAGAAUAAUACUUCUUACGUGUAGGGCUUUGCAUGUACCGUAUGAAUAAGGAUCGGCUAAAUCCGUGCCAGCAGCCGCGGUAAUACGGAGGAUUCGGGCGUUAUCCGGAUUUAUUGGGUUUAAAGGGAGCGUAGGCUGUAGGUUAAGUUUGCGGUGAAAUGUCCGGGCUUAACCCGGGUCUUGCAGCUGAUACUGGUCGGCUAGAGAGCGCAGGUAGCAGGCGGAAUGAGUAGUGUAGCGGUGAAAUGCUUAGAUAUGACGCAGAACCCCGAUUGCGGAGGCAGCUUGCUACAGCGGAUCUGACGCUGAUGCACGAAAGCGUGGGUAGCGAACAGGAUUAGAUACCCGGGUAGUC
rnacentral:rRNA from 1 species